GAUGAACGCUGGCGGCGUGCCUAAUACAUGCAAGUCGAGCGAACAGACGAGGAGCUUGCUCCUCUGACGUUAGCGGCGGACGGGUGAGUAACACGUGGAUAACCUACCUAUAAGACUGGGAUAACUUCGGGAAACCGGAGCUAAUACCGGAUAAUAUAUUGAACCGCAUGGUUCAAUAGUGAAAGACGGUUUUGCUGUCACUUAUAGAUGGAUCCGCGCCGCAUUAGCUAGUUGGUAAGGUAACGGCUUACCAAGGCAACGAUGCGUAGCCGACCUGAGAGGGUGAUCGGCCACACUGGAACUGAGACACGGUCCAGACUACUACGGGAGGCAGCAGUAGGGAAUCUUACGCAAUGGGCGAAAGCCUGACGGAGCAACGCCGCGUGAGUGAUGAAGGUCUUCGGAUAGUAAAACUCUGUUAUUAGGGAAGAACAAAUGUGUAAGUAACUAUGCACGUCUUGACGGUACCUAAUCAGAAAGCCACGGCUAACUACGUG
rnacentral:rRNA from 1 species